rnacentral:ncRNA from 1 species
GAAGGUGGGUGGAGCAAAGACGAUCAGAUACCGUCGUAGUACCGACGGUAAACGCUGCCGACCGGGCCGCGGACGAGGCUCGAGAACAGCGGUUAUGGACCCGUCCGUGGCGGCUUCGGGCAACCUGAGAGUUUACGGGU